AGAACCAAGAGCUUCCUUCUGAUAAAACUUUAAGAUACAGAAAAGAUUAGCAUGGCCUCUGGGAAGGAUCACAUGCAAAUGUAUGAUGUAUCCUUUAUUUAU
rfam:Neotoma lepida isolate 417 scaffold_22964, whole genome shotgun sequence.